AUGGUUGAUCCUGCCAGUAUUAUAUGCUUGUCUCAAAGAUUAAGCCAUGCAUGUCUAAGUAUAAGCAACUCUUAUACUGUGAAACUGCGAAUGGCUCAUUAAAUCAGUUAUGGUUUAUUUGAUGGUCCCUUUACUACAUGGAUAACCGUAGUAAUUCUAGAGCUAAUACAUGCGCACAAUUCCGGCUUUUCGGAGUCGGGAUGUAUUUAUUAGAUAAAAACCAAUUCGGGAUUUUUCUCGAUCUUUUUGGUGAGUCAUAAUAACUGUUCGGAUCGCAUCAGCUUCUUGCUGGCGAUAGAUCAUUCAAAUUUCUGCCCUAUCAGGUUGAUUGUAGUGUAGUGGACUACAAUGCCUUUGACGGGUAACGGAGAAUUAGGGUUCGAUUCCGGAGAGGGCGCUUGAGAAACGGCGACCAGGUCUAAGGAUUGCAGCAGGCGCGCAAAUUACCCAAUCCUGACACAGGGAGGUAGUGACAAGAAAUAACAGUGAUCAUCGACAAACGUCGAGAUUAAUUGGAAUGAGAACAAUUCAAACCCCUUAUCGAGUAGCAAUUGGAGGGCAAGUCUGGUGCCAGCAGCCGCGGUAAUACCAGCUCCAAUAGCGUAUAUUAACAUUGUUGCAGUUAAAAAGCUCGUAGCAGAAUUUCUGGUUCGGAGAGCCUGACCUGCGCCUAACUAGGUGUGGUGUUGGUGCAUUCCGGCCAUCCUUCGUGGAGAACGUCUCAGCUCUUUUACUGAGUUUGAGAUGGGAUCCCGAUCUUUUACUUUAAAAAAAUUAGAGUGUUCAAAGCAGGCUUACGCUGUGAAUACAUUAGCAUGGAAUAAUAAAAUAGGACUCCAGUUCUAUUUUGUUGGUUUCUAGGAUUGAAGUAAUGAUUGAUAGGGAUAGUUGGGGGUGCUCGUAUUCAACGGCCAGAGGUGAAAUUCCGUGAUUCGUUGAAGACGAACUAAUGCGAAAGCAUUCACCAAGGAUGUCUUCUUUUGUCAAGAACGAAAGUUGGGGGAUCGAAGACGAUCAGAUACCGUCGUAGUCUCAACCAUAAACGAUGCCGACUAUGGAUGAGUCAGUGUUGUUUAUGACCUGAUUCGCACAUUAUGAGAAAUCAAAGUUUUUGGGUUCCGGGGGGAGUAUGGUCGCAAGGCUGAAACUUAAAGGAAUUGACGGAAGGGCACCACCAGGCGUGGAACCUGCGGCUUAAUUUGACCCAACACGGGAAAACUUACCAGGUCCAGACAUAG
rnacentral:rRNA from 1 species